rnacentral:misc_RNA from 1 species
UCCGUGUUUUACUUUGUGUUGACACAAAUUCACCCGUAUUGACUUUUGAUGUGUGAAGCUCACUUUUGAUUACUCUACAUGGAACUCUUGGGAAUACAUGUAUUGAACAUUCACUUUAUAGCAGUGAUGAUGUGAUUGUGUUCUGUUUUGUUUUUUAUGGAGGAUAUAUUAAUAAUAAUGAACACUAUUUUGUAGAAGAUUUUAAUACUCAGUUGUUGUGGAUGUUUUAUUAUGUGUAUGAGUGGAUUUUUAUGUAUACAAAAUGUUGAUCUCAGUCUGUAAAACAUUUACCAUCUGGGGAUAAAUAAUACUAAAGC